UACGUAGGGGGCGAGCGUUGUCCGGAUUUAUUGGGCGUAAAACGCUUGUAGGUGGCUACGUCAAGUCGGACGUGAAAUCUCCCGGCUUAACUGGGAGGGGUCGCUCGAUACUGGCGAGCUCGAGGCAGGUAGGGGAAGCGGAAGUUCCCGGUGUAGUGGUGGAAUGCGUAGAUAUCGGGAGGAACACCAAUGGACGAAGGCAGCUUGCUGGGACGGUACUGACGCUGAGGCGCGAAAGCUAGGGGAGCAAAUGGG
rnacentral:rRNA from 1 species